rnacentral:rRNA from 2 species
UAAUGCAGUCGAACGAACUCUGGUAUUGAUUGGUGCUUGCAUCAUGAUUUACAUUUGAGUGAGUGGCGAACUGGUGAGUAACACGUGGGAAACCUGCCCAGAAGCGGGGGAUAACACCUGGAAACAGAUGCUAAUACCGCAUAACAACUUGGACCGCAUGGUCCGAGUUUGAAAGAUGGCUUCGGCUAUCACUUUUGGAUGGUCCCGCGGCGUAUUAGCUAGAUGGUGGGGUAACGGCUCACCAUGGCAAUGAUACGUAGCCGACCUGAGAGGGUAAUCGGCCACAUUGGGACUGAGACACGGCCCAAACUCCUACGGGAGGCAGCAGUAGGGAAUCUUCCACAAUGGACGAAAGUCUGAUGGAGCAACGCCGCGUGAGUGAAGAAGGGUUUCGGCUCGUAAAACUCUGUUGUUAAAGAAGAACAUAUCUGAGAGUAACUGUUCAGGUAUUGACGGUAUUUAACCAGAAAGCCACGGCUAACUACGUGCCAGCAGCCGCGGUAAUACGUAGGUGGCAAGCGUUGUCCGGAUUUAUUGGGCGUAAAGCGAGCGCAGGCGGUUUUUUAAGUCUGAUGUGAAAGCCUUCGGCUCAACCGAAGAAGUGCAUCGGAAACUGGGAAACUUGAGUGCAGAAGAGGACAGUGGAACUCCAUGUGUAGCGGUGAAAUGCGUAGAUAUAUGGAAGAACACCAGUGGCGAAGGCGGCUGUCUGGUCUGUAACUGACGCUGAGGCUCGAAAGUAUGGGUAGCAAACAGGAUUAGAUACCCUGGUAGUCCAUACCGUAAACGAUGAAUGCUAAGUGUUGGAGGGUUUCCGCCCUUCAGUGCUGCAGCUAACGCAUUAAGCAUUCCGCCUGGGGAGUACGGCCGCAAGGCUGAAACUCAAAGGAAUUGACGGGGGCCCGCACAAGCGGUGGAGCAUGUGGUUUAAUUCGAAGCUACGCGAAGAACCUUACCAGGUCUUGACAUACUAUGCAAAUCUAAGAGAUUAGACGUUCCCUUCGGGGACAUGGAUACAGGUGGUGCAUGGUUGUCGUCAGCUCGUGUCGUGAGAUGUUGGGUUAAGUCCCGCAACGAGCGCAACCCUUAUUAUCAGUUGCCAGCAUUAAGUUGGGCA